AGUUCCCGGGCUAACCGGGAAACCCUUGGAGCCCUCUCUCCGGACCCGGAAAAGGAUGAAUUCUGUGUGUCGCGCGAAAUCCGGAAUUUGGGUACUCCGGGGGAAGCCUUCCUUGGACCGGUAUGGGGUCUCUGCCGGAGAGUUUGGGCCAACCGGUUUGAACCCGGUAGGCCAAGCCUUACGAUUUAACAGUUAUUCAAUGAUUCAGUACGAGGUACGCGUAGUGACCCUUGAAUUCGGCCCCAGUGAUCCAUGAUGACGACGACCAGCGUGAUGAUUUGUAUCGAUGCACCGGAAACUACUACUGACAUGUACGACUGCAGAGAUGCUGUGCUCGAGAGACGUACACAGUGCUGCAUGCUGUCGUCAGCUCGUGUCGUGAGAUGUGGUAGUCCGCACGAGCGCAGCUGUCAUAGUGCUACAUUUAGUGGCACUCUAUGAGACUGCCGUGACAACAGAGAAGGUGAGAUGACGUCAAGUCUCAUGGUCUUAUAGGUAGGGCUACACACGUCAUACAAUGGAUGGUACAAAGCGUCGCCAACCCGCGAGGAGGAGCCAAUCCCAUAAAGCCAUUCGUAGUCCGGAUCGCAGUCUGCAACUCGACUGCGUGAAGUCGGAAUCGCUAGUAAUCGUGGAUCAGAAUGUCACGGUGAAUACGUUCCCGGGCCUUGUACACACCACCACUAACUAGUGAAU
rnacentral:rRNA from 1 species